rnacentral:rRNA from 1 species
UACAGAGACUGCAAGCGUUAUUCGGAUUCACUGGGCGUAAAGGGUGCGCAGGCGGCCAAGUGUGUCAGGUGUGAAAUCCCGGGGCUUAACCCCGGAACUGCACCUGAAACUACUUGGCUAGAGCAUUGGAGAGGGAAGUGGAAUUCACGGUGUAGCAGUGAAAUGCGUAGAUAUCGUGAGGAACACCAGAGGCGAAGGCGACUUCCUGGACAAUUGCUGACGCUCAGGCACGAAAGCGUGGGGAGCCAAAGGG